GUUUUAAGCAUUUAAAAUCAAGAGAUUUUAAAUUUAAUUCUCACUAUUAUUUAGUUAUUAUUUUAUUUAUAUUUAAUUGGAUUAAUUAUAAAAAAUUAGUGGAAUUAUUAAAUAUUUUUUUAAAAAAAUUUACUUCAAAAUGCACUUUUAAUAGUUUAAUGUUUAUUUUGUACUACAAAACUUAAAGGGUUGAAAUUUUUAUAACCUUUUUCUCUUUAUAAAUUUAUAAUAUAACAAAAAAUUUUUAAAAAAGUGUUUAAUAAAACUUUGAUUUAUCUAUUUUGUUUCCAUGUAUCCAAGUAUCUAUCAAUCUCUCUCUCCUCCCAUGGUAGAGCUCAUAUUUUUUCUCCCU
rnacentral:misc_RNA from 1 species